rnacentral:lncRNA from 1 species
AAUUAUAAUCACAUUCCUCCUCUUUUUAUUUACACUUAUAUAUCUAUGAUGUCAAUUAAGUGUUGUAAACUACCGUUGCUCUUAAAUAAAUAGUGCCAAUGGCCAAUAAAUAAUUUGUACCUUGUAAACUACCGUUGCACUUAAAUAAAUAGUGCCAAUGGCCAAUAAAUAAAUUGUACCUUCUCUUGUUAAAUUACUUGGUUUGUGCGUCAAUUUUAUAUUUUUGGCUUCAUAAAUGAAGAGCCAUAAGUUUAGUGUUUGGAU